rnacentral:rRNA from 1 species
AAUUUUGGACAAUGGGGGUAACCCUGAUCUAGCCAUCCCGCGUGUAUGAUGAAGGCCUNCGGGUUNUNAAGUACUUUUGGUAGAGNCGAACAGGUACCGCCUAAUACGAGGUACUGCUGACGGUAUCUGCAGAAUAAGCACCGGCCAACUUCGCGCCAGCAGCCGCGGUAAUACGUAGGGUGCAAGCGUUAAUCGGAAUUACUGGGCGUAAAGCGUGUGUAGGCGGUUCGGAAAGAAAGAUGUGAAAUGCCAGGGCUCAACCUUGGAACUGCAUUUUUAACUGCCGGGCUAGAAUAUGUCAGAGGGGGGUAGAAUUUCACGUGUAGCAGUGAAAUGCGUAGAUAUGUGGAGGAAUACCGAUUGCGAAGGCAGCCCCCUGAGAUAAUACUGACGCUCAGACACGAAAGCGUGGGGAGCAAACA